rnacentral:misc_RNA from 1 species
ACAAGUUUUGCUCAACUACACUUGAAGCCCUCUUAUGCUGCUUGGGGAAGAUUCAAUGACAUGGUGAAUUGCAAAUUUUGAAAAAUUGUGAGAUGCUGCAAAAAGAAAAGAAGAAAACAAGCUGUUGUUCAAGAAAGUAUUCUUCACUUUUUAAUUAACUGUUAAUAGUAAAUUUUGUUGCCAAAGUAUAUUAGUUUGCUAAAAUGAGGGAAUUUGGAUGAUAAAGCAUGUUUAUGUGCAUGAAUUUUAUGUUUUGGAGUGUGCAACUUGGUUGAGUCUGAAUAUGAAAUUUUG